GACGAACGCUGGCGGCGUGCUUAACACAUGCAAGUCGAACGGAAAGGCCCUGCUUGCAGGGUACUCGAGUGGCGAACGGGUGAGUAACACGUGGGUGAUCUGCCCUGCACUUCGGGAUAAGCCUGGGAAACUGGGUCUAAUACCGGAUAGGAGCCAUUUUUAGUGUGAUGGUUGGAAAGUUUUUUCGGUGUAGGAUGAGCUCGCGGCCUAUCAGCUUGUUGGUGGGGUAAUGGCCUACCAAGGCGGCGGCGGGUAGCCGGCCUGAGAGGGUGGACGGCCACAUUGGGACUGAGAGACGGCCCAGACUCCUACGGGAGGCAGCAGGGGGGAAUAUUGCACAAUGGGCGCAAGCCUGAUGCAGCGACGCCGCGGGGGGGAGGACGGCCUUCGGGUUGUAAACUCCUUUCGCUAGGGACGAAGCUUUUUGUGACGGUACCUAGAUAAGAAGCACCGGCUAACUACGUG
rnacentral:rRNA from 1 species